rnacentral:rRNA from 1 species
ACGGGAGGCAGCAGUGGGGGAUAUUGCACAAUGGGGGAAACCCUGAUGCAGCGACGCCGCGUGAGGGAAGACGGUCCUCUGGAUUGUAAACCUCUGUCUUCGGGGACGAAAAAGGACGGUACCCGAGGAGGAAGCCACGGCUAACUACGUGCCAGCAGCCGCGGUAAUACGUAGGUGGCAAGCGUUGUCCGGAAUUACUGGGUGUAAAGGGAGCGUAGGCGGGGGUGCAAGUCAGACGUUAAAUCCAUCGGCUCAACCGGUGGCUGCGUUUGAAACUGCAGCUCUUGAGUGAAGUAGAGGUUGGCGGAAUUCCUAGUGUAGCGGUGAAAUGCGUAGAUAUUAGGAGGAACACCAGUGGCGAAGGCGGCCAACUGGGCUUUUACUGACGCUGAGGCUCGAAAGUGUGGGGAGCAAACAGGAUUAGAUACCCUGGUA